GUGCCAGCCGCCGCGGUAAUACCGGCAGCCCGAGUGAUGGCCGAUCUUAUUGGGCCUAAAGCGUCCGUAGCUGGCUGCGCAAGUCCGUCGGGAAAUCCACUCGCUCAACGGGUGGGCGUCCGGCGGAAACUGCUCGGCUUGGGACCGGAGGACCCGAGGGGUACGUCCGGGGUAGGAGUGAAAUCCCGUAAUCCCGGACGGACCGCCGGUGGCGAAAGCGCCUCGGGAGGACGGAUCCGACGGUGAGGGACGAAAGCUAGGGUCUCGAACCGGAUUAGAAACCCGAGUAGUCC
rnacentral:rRNA from 1 species